rnacentral:rRNA from 1 species
GUGAGGAAUAUUGCGCAAUGGAGGCAACUCUGACGCAGCCAUGCCGCGUGCAGGAAGAAGGCGCUACGCGUUGUAAACUGCUUUUAACCGGGAAGAAACCCCAGGACGUGUCCUGGGUUGACGGUACCGGAGGAAUAAGCACCGGCUAACUUCGUGCCAGCAGCCGCGGUAAUACGAAGGGUGCAAGCGUUAUCCGGAUUCAUUGGGUUUAAAGGGUGCGUAGGCGGAGCGUUAAGUCAGUGGUGAAAUCCUGCAGCUUAACUGUAGACUUGCCAUUGAUACUGGCGCUCUUGAGUGCGCUUGAAGUGGGCGGAAUGUGCCGUGUAGCGGUGAAAUGCUUAGAUAUGGCACAGAACACCAAUUGCGAAGGCAGCUCACUAAGGCGAUACUGACGCUGAGGCACGAAAGCGUGGGGAUCGAUCAGGAUUAGAUACCCGAGUAGUCC